UGGUAGUGAGAAAAUGAGAGAUG
rnacentral:piRNA from 1 species